GUGCUCAUUUUGGCAUUACAUAUUUUAAAUUAAAGCAAUGCACAGAAGAUUAGCCUGGCUCCUAUGCAAAAUAUCUGACAGUCAAAUCCAUGAAUCAUUUCACACUUUU
rnacentral:snRNA from 1 species